GGUCAGUAACCAGCAGGUAGCCUAGUGGUUAGAGCGUUGGGUCAGUAACCAGCAGGUAGCCUAGUGGUUAGAGCGUUGGGUCAGUAACCAGCAGGUAGCCUAGUGGUUAGAGCGUUGGGUCAGUAACCAGCAGGUAGCCUAGUGGUUAGAGCGUUGGGUCAGUAACCAGCAGGUAGCCUAGUGGUUAGAGCGUUGGGUCAGUAACCAGCAGGUAGCCUAGUGGUUAGAGCGUUGGGUCAGUAACCAGCAGGUAGCCUAGUGGUUAGAGCGUUGGGUCAGUAACCAGCAGGUAGCCUAGUGGUUAGAGCGUUGGGUCAGUAACCAGCAGGUAGCCUAGUGGUUAGAGCGUUGGGUCAGUAACCAGCAGGUAGCCUAGUGGUUAGAGCGUUGGGUCAGUAACCAGCAGGUAGCCUAGUGGUUAGAGCGUUGGGUCAGUAACCAGCAGGUAGCCUAGUGGUUAGAGCGUUAGGCCAGUAACCAUUAGGUAGCCUAGUGGUUAAGGCAUUGGGACAGUAACCAGCAGGUAGCCUAGUGGUUAGAGUGUUGGGCCAGUAACCAGCAGGUAGCCUAGUGGUUAGGGCGUUAGGCCAGUAACCAUUAGGUAGCCUAGUGGUUGGAGCGUUGGGCCAGUAACCAGCAGGUAGCCUAGUGGUUAGAGCAUUGGGCCAGUAACCAGCAGGGAGCCUAGUGGUUAGAGCGUUGGGUCAGUAACCAGCAGGUAGCCUAGUGGUUAGAGCGUUGGGUCAGUAACCAGCAGGUAGCCUAGUGGUUAGAGCGUUGGGUCAGUAACCAGCAGGUAGCCUAGUGGUUAGAGCGUUGGGUCAGUAACCAGC